GACGAACGCUGGCGGCGUGCUUAACACAUGCAAGUCGAACGGAAAGGCCCUGCUUUUGUGGGGUGCUCGAGGGGCGAACGGGUGAGUAACACGUGAGUAACCUGCCCUUGACUUUGGGAUAACUUCAGGAAACUGGGGCUAAUACCGGAUAGGAGCUCCUGCUGCAUGGUGGGGGUUGGAAAGUUUCGGCGGUUGGGGAUGGACUCGCGGCUUAUCAGCUUGUUGGUGGGGUAGUGGCUUACCAAGGCUUUGACGGGUAGCCGGCCUGAGAGGGUGACCGGCCACAUUGGGACUGAGAUACGGCCCAGACUCCUACGGGAGGCAGCAGUGGGGAAUAUUGCACAAUGGGCGGAAGCCUGAUGCAGCAACGCCGCGUGCGGGAUGACGGCCUUCGGGUUGUAAACCGCUUUCGGCUGUGACGAAGCGUGAGUGACGGUAAUGGGUAAAGAAGCACCGGCUAACUACGUG
rnacentral:rRNA from 1 species